AUUGAACGCUGGCGGCAUGCUUUACACAUGCAAGUCGAACGGCAGCACGGGAGCUUGCUCCUGGUGGCGAGUGGCGAACGGGUGAGUAAUAUAUCGGAACGUAUCCAAUAAUGGGGGAUAACUAAUAGAAAUGUUAGCUAAUACCGCAUACGCCCUAAGGGGGAAAGCAGGGGAUCUUCGGACCUUGCGUUAAUGGAGCGGCUGAUAUCUGAUUAGCUAGUUGGUGAGGUAAAGGCUCACCAAGGCGACGAUCAGUAGCUGGUCUGAGAG
rnacentral:rRNA from 1 species